rnacentral:rRNA from 1 species
AUUGAACGCUGGCGGCAGGCCUAACACAUGCAAGUCGAACGAGUGGCGGACGGGUGAGUAAUGUCUGGGAAACUGCCUGAUGGAGGGGGAUAACUACUGGAAACGGUAGCUAAUACCGCAUACCAUCGGAUGUGCCCAGAUGGGAUUAGCUAGUAGGUGGGGUAAAGGCUCACCUAGGCGACCAUCCCUAGCUGGUCUGAAAGGAUGACCAGCCACACUGGAACUGUGACAGGGUCCAGACUCCUACGGGCGGCAGCAGUGGGGAAUAUUGCACAAUGGGCGAAAGCCUGAUGCAGCCAGGCCGCGUGUAGGAAGAAGGCCUUCGGGUUGUAAAGUACUUUCAGCGGGGAGGCGUUACCCGCAGAAGAAGCACCGGCUAACUCCGUGCCAGCAGCCGCGGUAAUUC